GCUGCAGAUGGGAGAGGCACAUGAUGGGAGCUGGAGGUGCUGCGGCUGCAGACCUGCAGCAAGAAUGGUCCUGCCAGGCCCCUUGGGAGAUCUGGGAUGGGUGGCUGUGCCCUGCCCCAUGGCCACCAGCGUGGGACCUCUGGGAGGCACCCCAGACCCGUGUCAAUGCUGGUGGUGUCUGGUUAGCUCUGACCUGGCAACUGCUGCCUGUGCUGACCAGCAGCCCCAGAUGUCAAGGCAGAGAAUCCAUCUCCUGUGCUCAUCCUAGGCAAGUUUUGCAUCACACUCAGAAAGAAAGAAAGAAAGAAAAAUCUUCAGCUGCUGCAAGUGAGGGGAAGCAAAGCAAAGGGAGAAAGAAACCUCUCACUCCUGGAGCCCUGGCGGGUUCUGCAGGCACAGGGGCAGAGGAACCCUCAUGCUUCCUUGGCCUGGAGAAGCUGCCAAGGGCUGGAGGGAGCUCCUGGAUGGCAGCAGUGAUGCAGGAGCAGUGGGACCAGCUCUGGAACCUGCAUCCCCACCGUGCAGGUGAGCAUCACACUGGGAGUCUGAC